ensembl:lncRNA
CUUGCCGGGACGCUGUGCUCGAGCCUGGCCUGGCUGGAUGAGCUCGGGAUGCGGGGCCUCCCAUGAGUGCCUCUGCCGCAAGGGCCCCGCCAGCACCCAGCCUCCCUUCCUCUUCCGCCCCCACCUGCCCCGGGUUCUCUCCUGGCUCCUUCUUCAGUCACCCCCAGCAGCGGGGCAGUUGUCCCUCCCGGGCUAGGGCCGGGGUCUGGCUCAUCCCCAUCUCCUCGCCACCCCGGGCUCGGAGCUCGGAGCAGCGCGCCGGACAGCACAGCAGGAGGGGCUCCCAGGUCCCGAGUCGAUGAGGACCCCGGAGCGGCCCGGUGCGGUGCUUUGGGUCAGCUCAGAGGCCACCGCUGCGGGGACAGAAGCUGCCAAAGCCCCAAGGCCAGCCGCUCCCGCCUCCGGCCGCAGUCGGAGAAGCUGGUUCCUCCUGUCCUUGCCCAGCGCCCGCUCUCGGCCGAUGCAGAAGGAGACGUUCCCCAGGCCCGGACACCCCACUUCCAGGGGCCUGUUGAGAACUGGCAGAUCCUUCAUCAAUGGAAAACCACUCCCUUCCUUUGAAUCUUUACCCAGAGAGGCUAUUAGAAUAAAUAAAUUCAUUGAAGUUACAGGUUACAAAGUCAACAUAUAAAAAUCAGUAGCAUCUCUGGAU